rnacentral:rRNA from 1 species
GAUGAACGCUGGCGGCGUGCCUAAUACAUGCAAGUCGAGCGAACAGACGAGGAGCUUGCUCCUUCGACGUUAGCGGCGGACGGGUGAGUAACACGUAGGUCACCUACCUAUAAGACUGGGAUAACUUCGGGAAACCGGAGCUAAUACCGGAUAAUAUUUCGAACCGCAUGGUUCGAUAGUGAAAGAUGGCUUUGCUAUCACUUAUAGCUGGACCUGCGCCGUAUUAGCUAGUUGGUAAGGUAACGGCUUACCAAGGCAACGAUACGUAGCCGACCUGAGAGGGUGAUCGGCCACACUGGAACUGAGACACGGUCCAGACUCCUACGGGAGGCAGCAGUAGGGAAUCUUCCGCAAUGGGCGAAAGCCUGACGGAGCAACGCCGCGUGAGUGAUGAAGGUCUUCGGAUCGUAAAACUCUGUUAUUAGGGAAGAACAAACGUGUAAGUAACUGUGCACGUCUUGACGGUACCUAAUCAGAAAGCCACGGCUAACUACGUG